AUGGGCGCAAGCCUGAUGCAGCGACGCCGCGUGAGGGAUGACGGCCUUCGGGUUGUAAACCUCUUUCACCAGGGACGAAGCGUGAGUGACGGUACCUGGAGAAGAAGCACCGGCCAACUACGUGCCAGCAGCCGCGGUAAUACGUAGGGUGCGAGCGUUGUCCGGAAUUACUGGGCGUAAAGAGCUCGUAGGCGGUUUGUCGCGUCGUCUGUGAAAUUCUGCAACUCAAUUGCAGGCGUGCAGGCGAUACGGGCAGACUUGAGUACUACAGGGGAGACUGGAAUUCCUGGUGUAGCGGUGAAAUGCGCAGAUAUCAGGAGGAACACCGGUGGCGAAGGCGGGUCUCUGGGUAGUAACUGACGCUGAGGAGCGAAAGCGUGGGUAGCGAACAGGAUUAGAUACCCUGGUAGUCCACGCCGUAAACGGUGGGUACUAGGUGUGGGUUCCUUUUCACGGGAUCCGUGCCGUAGCUAACGCAUUAAGUACCCCGCCUGG
rnacentral:rRNA from 1 species